UACGUAGGGUGCAAGCGUUAAUCGGAAUUACUGGGCGUAAAGCGUGCGCAGGCGGUUUUGUAAGUCUGAUGUGAAAUCCCCGGGCUCAACCUGGGAAUUGCGAUGGAGACUGCAAGGCUAGAAUCUGGCAGAGGGGGGUAGAAUUCCACGUGUAGCAGUGAAAUGCGUAGAGAUGUGGAGGAACACCGAUGGCGAAGGCAGCCCCCUGGGUCAAGAUUGACGCUCAUGCACGAAAGCGUGGGGAGCAAACAGG
rnacentral:rRNA from 1 species